UUAGGUCAGUUUAUUAAUUAAGUUUUGUAGUUUUAUUAUUAAAAAUAUUUAUUUUAAAUACUUAUUAUUAUUAAAGAAAAAUUUUAUUUGCUUGUUCUGUGAGGGAAAAUAAUUUUAUGGUUAUAGAAUAAAUUAAAUGUAGUACCUUUUGUAUCAGGGAAUUUUAAUAUUUAAAAUAUUUUUUUUUUCCCGAAAAAAAUAAGAGUUAUAUAAAUUUAAUUAAAAAGUUAACUGUGACAAAAGUUAAUUAGAUUUUUAUAUCGUAGUGAGAUGUUAUUCGUUUUUUUUGAUAUCUGGUUUCUUUAAAAAUUAUUUUAGAUAGGUGUUUAGAUUUUGUUAUUUUUAAAUAUUUAAUUUAUUAGGGCUAAGCUUAGUAUUUUAAUAAUUAUAUAACAAUAUUAAUUUAUAGAUAUGUAGGCUUUAAAGUGGCUAUUUGUUUAAUAACAUAUGUUUAUUAAAUUUAUAUUAAUUAAAUAAAAAGAAGGUUAAAAAAUUUAAAAUUUUUUUUAUAAUGAGAUUAUUAGUAGAAAAUUUUUAAGGGAUUUUUAAUAAGUUUAAAGGUACCCUCUAAACCAAAUUAUAUUUUUUUAAGGAACUCGGCAAAAUAUUUUUUCGACUGUUUAUCAAAAACAUUUUUUUAAGGUUAUUAAAUUAAAAUAAGCCCUGCUCUAUGAUAUUAUUAUUUAUUAAAUAGCCGCAGUAUACUGACUGUGCAAAGGUAGCAUAAUCAUUUGGUCCUUAAUUGGGAUCUUGUAUGAAGGGGUUAACGAAAAUUAGCUGUCUUAAAAAAAUACUUUGAAUUUUAAUUUUUUGUAAUAAUGCAAAAAUUUAUUUAAGGGACGAUAAGACCCUAUAAAGCUUUAUUUUAAAUAAAAUCUAGUUUUAGACAUAUUAUUUUUUACUAAAAAUUUUACUGGGGUGGUAUGUUAAAGUCAAAACUAAUAUAUUUUAAAAUUUUUGAUCCAAUUUUAUUGAUAAUAAGAUUAAGUUACUUUAGGGAUAACAGCAUAAUCCGUUUAGGGAGUUCAAAUCGAAGAAUGGGAUUAUGACCUCGAUGUUGAAUUAAAAUUUCUUUAGGGUGCAGGAGCUUUAAAAGAUAGUCUGUUCGACUAGUAAUAUUUUACAUGAUUUGAGUUCAAACCGGUGUAAGCCAGGUUGGUUUCUAUCUUUAGUUAAUUAUUUAUGGAUUAAAUUAGUACGAAAGGAUUUUUUAAUCAAAAUUAUUUUAAAAAAUUUUUAUAAU
rnacentral:rRNA from 1 species